CCUACGGGAGGCAGCAGUGGGGAAUAUUGCACAAUGGGGGAAACCCUGAUGCAGCGACGCCGCGUGAGUGAAGAAGUAGUUCGGUACGUAAAGCUCUAUCAGCAGAGAAGAAAAUGACGGUACCUGACUAAGAAGCCCCGGCUAACUACGUGCAAGCAGCCGCGGUAAUACGUAGGGGGCCAGCGUUAUACGGAUUUACUGGGUGUAAAGGGAGCGUAGACGGCAGCGCAAGUCUGGAGUGAAACCCCAUGGCUUAACCAUGGAACUGCUUUGGAAACCGUGCAGCUAGAGGGCAGGAGAGGUAAGCGGAAUGCCUAGUGUAGCGGUGAAAUGCGUAGAUAUUAGGAGGAACACCAGUGGCGAAGGCGGCAUACUGGACUGUAACUGACGUUGAGGCUCGAAAGCGUGGGGAGCAAACAGGAUUAGAUACCCCUGUAGUC
rnacentral:rRNA from 1 species